UAGGAGAAGUUGGAUAUCACAACAACCCGGCACGAAAAGUGUCAAGGAACAUGCAACCGAACGGCCAGCUUACGGCUCCCCGGAGACGGUGCGAGUGUGAAUGCUGCGCUGCGAUCUAAAGUCUAAAACGACUCUCGGCAACGGAUAUCUCGGCUCUCGCAUCGAUGAAGAACGUAGCGAAAUGCGAUACUUGGUGUGAAUUGCAGAAUCCCGUGAACCAUCGAGUCUUUGAACGCAAGUUGCGCCCCAAGCCUUCUGGCCGAGGGCACGUCUGCCUGGGCGUCACAAAUCGUCGUCCCCCUCAAUUCUCUUGCGGGUAUCGGACGGAAGCUGGUCUCCCGUGUGUUACCGCACGCGGUUGGCCAAAAUAUGAGCCAAGGGUGCGUGGAGCGUCCCGACAUGCGGUGGUGAACUCAAGCCUCUUCAUAUAGUCGGUCGCCCCCAUCCGUUAGCUCUCGAUGACCCAAUGUCCUCAAAGCGACCCCAGGUCAGGCGGGAUCACCCGCUGAG
rnacentral:rRNA from 1 species